rnacentral:lncRNA from 1 species
UCUUAAUGUAAAGGGUGAUUAGGAGGAGUGGUGAGGAUAAAAUGGGAUUAAGAAAUAAGGCUCAUGACUUAAUGAUUAACAGUGGAGUCAUGGAUGGAUCAAUAUAACUACUCAUGUGAUGAGGAAGGAGGGUGAGAAAAUGGGUCCCAUUCCCAUGACCCACUUCUAACUUUAAUGGGAAUCUCCACAGCCAACCUAAACAGCUUUUCUCCCUAUGAUGCCAAUAAUGUGCAUUGCCUUAGUUAGGUGCAUCCCGGUAAGCUUCCUGAGGGCAGGGGUCAGCAUGUCUUGUUUUUGGUCUAGAACAAUGUCCCACGGAUAGUGUAAGCACUUUCUUAGUGCUUGUGUGAAGGACUGAUUGAUAUGGACCAAACACUCCAAGGGGUCCCUGGACUUUGACUGGAUGUUAUGAUCCUGGGGAUUAAUGAAGAGAACACUUCUUGAUUUUUCCCCGGGAUGGUAACCAUUGGGCGAUAAAACAUUUUGCCCCCCCCCCCAGUGACUACUUCUGUGACCUUGGGUAUGCCAUCUAACCACUCUAUUUCUCAUCGUUCUCCUCUGUUAGGUGAAAGAGUUGGACUGAAUUCUCUCUGAAGGCACUUCCAGCUUUAUGUCUAUGAGGUUACGAUUGGUCCACGGUAAAGGCACAGAAAGGUGCUCAUCGGCAUUGAUGGAUGCAGUUCCCCCAAAGAGUAUAGCAUGGGACUUCUGAAGCCUGGUACUAUAGAGGAACAGAACGCCUUCUGUGUAGAAAGAGGGGGCAGUAAGGAGAAGGCCCCACUUUGGCCCCCACUAAGGCAUUCACAGUUGCUCUUAGCCAGUUUUUGUUACAGGGACGCUCCCUGGUUAGAGGCGCAGAAGUCCUGCGAAGUACUGAGUGAGGGAGGCGUCAAUAAUACACAAUGCUGAAGUGAGGGGAGAUGCUGGGAACAGACUUGGCUUUCUGCAGCAAGCCAUCAAGGAGAAGACAUAAAAGGCUCCAGUCGGGCAUGGGGGGUGCUGGCUAAAGAAUGGCGAGAAUGUCUUCACCUGAGGUCUUGCAAAGCUCAUCAAAAAUGCUUCAAAUCACCAAGAAAAGGGGUCGGGGGUCCCUCUGUCUGCUUCUAGGGAAGGUGGGGAAGAAGCACAGCAGCAGCAGGGAAUAGAAGAGUUGUAGAGACGCCCAGAAAUGCACAGGAGGCGAAAUCCAAGAAAAGAGCCAACGAUAAAGAACGUUGGGAGACUCCCUCCGUGUUUAUGCACAAACAGCCAGACGUGGCCAAGAAGCGGCAUGAGCU